rnacentral:rRNA from 1 species
CCUACGGGUGGCAGCAGUAGGGAAUUUUGCGCAAUGGGCGAAAGCCUGACGCAGCAACACCGCGUGAAUGUUAAGCCCUUCGGGGUGUAAAGUUCUGUCAAUAGGGAAGAAUGUCGAUUGUAUCUAUAAAGGAAGCACCGGCUAACUCCGUGCCAGCAGCCGCGGUAAUACGGGGGGCGCAAGCGUUGUCCGGAAUCAUGGGGCGAAAAGCGUUCGUAGGCGGCAAGGUAAGUCGGAUGUUAAAGCCCGGGGCUCAACUCCGGUUCGGCAUUGGAUACUGUCUGGCUAGAGUGUUGUAGAGGUGAAGAGAAUUCCAGGUGUAGCGGUGAAAUGCGUAGAUAUCAGGAGGAACAUCGGUGGCGAAAGCGCUUUCCUGGACCAUUAUUGACGCUGAGGUGCGAAAGCCAGGGGAGCAAAUGGGAUUAGAUACCCGAGUAGUC